UACGGAGGGUGCAAGCGUUAAUCGGAAUUACUGGGCGUAAAGCGCACGCAGGCGGUCUGUCAAGUCGGAUGUGAAAUCCCCGGGCUCAACCUGGGAACUGCAUUCGAAACUGGCAGGCUAGAGUCUUGUAGAGGGGGGUAGAAUUCCAGGUGUAGCGGUGAAAUGCGUAGAGAUCUGGAGGAAUACCGGUGGCGAAGGCGGCCCCCUGGACAAAGACUGACGCUCAGGUGCGAAAGCGUGGGGAGCAAACAGGAUUAGAAACCCCCGUAGUCC
rnacentral:rRNA from 1 species